rnacentral:rRNA from 1 species
UCCGGAAUCAUUGGGCGUAAAGCGUCUGUAGGUUGUUUAAUAAGUCUGUUGUUAAAGACUAGGGCUUAACCCUAGAAAAGCAAUGGAAACUACUAGACUUGAGUAUGGCAGGGGUAGAGGGAAUUUCUAGUGUAGCGGUGAAAUGCGUAGAUAUUAGAAAGAACACCAGUGGCGAAAGCGCUCUACUGGACCAUUACUGACACUCAGAGACGAAAGCUAGGGUAGCAAAAGGGAUUAGAUACCCCUGUAGUCCUAGCCGUAAACGAUGGAUACUAGAUGUUGUGUUUAAUAUGCAGUAUCGUAGCUAACGCGUUAAGUAUCCCGCCUGGGGAGUACGCUCGCAAGGGUGAAACUCAAAGGAAUUGACGGGGGCCCGCACAAGCGGUGGAGCAUGUGAUUUAAUUCGAUGCAACGCGAAGAACCUUACCAGGACUUGACAUACUACAAAUUUCUUUGAAAAAAGGAAGUGCCUUCGGGAAUGUAGAUACAGGUGGUGCAUGGCUGUCGUCAGCUCGUGUCGUGAGAUGUUGGGUUAAGUCCCGCAACGAGCGCAACCCUUAUUUUUAGUUACUAAUUAAUUAGGUUUUCUAGAAAGACUGCCGGUGACAAACCGGAGGAAGGUGAGGAUGACGUCAAGUCAGCAUGCCCCUUAUGUCCUGGGCUACACACGUGCUACAAUGGUUAAAACAAAGGGUCGCGAGCUUGUGAGAGUCAGCCAAUCCCAUAAAUUUAGCCUAAGUUCAGAUUGUAGGCUGCA